rnacentral:rRNA from 1 species
GUGGGGAAUCUUGCGCAAUGGGCGAAAGCCUGACGCAGCCAUGCCGCGUGAAUGAUGAAGGUCUUAGGAUUGUAAAAUUCUUUCACCGGGGACGAUAAUGACGGUACCCGGAGAAGAAGCCCCGGCUAACUUCGUGCCAGCAGCCGCGGUAAUACGAAGGGGACUAGCGUUGCUCGGAAUUACUGGGCGUAAAGGGCGCGUAGGCGGACAGUUUAGUCAGAGGUGAAAGCCCAGGGCUCAACCUUGGAAUUGCCUUUGAUACUGGCUGUCUUGAGUACGGGAGAGGUGAGUGGAACUCCGAGUGUAGAGGUGAAAUUCGUAGAUAUUCGGAAGAACACCAGUGGCGAAGGCGACUCACUGGCCCGUUACUGACGCUGAGGCGCGAAAGCGUGGGGAGCAAACAGGAUUAGAUACCCCAGUAGUCC